UAACAAGGCGUUGACUACAAAUGCUGUCCCAGUAGACCUGUCCCAACUUUUUCAUGUAGUGUGCGAGAUACCCUGCCUUCCUCGACAAAAUGAUCAAAUGGAGUCUAAAACAAUGGCUGAUGAUAUCUCUUGUCGAUAUGAUGUUCUCAACUGCAGUGUACCAGACAUACCAUUUGGUAUGAGUAAUGCUUCACUCGUUCAAUAUGGUGCUACUGUUCAGUUUACAUGUCAGCAUACAUACUUUCUGUGGGGAAGUUCAUCAGCUACAUGCAACGGUGAUGGUACAUUGAGCUCAGUGCCGAUAUGUUAUACAUGCAAAGCAUCCACUGCUGACUUCACAACAGGACUGAGCGGCUACACACAAGCUACUAGCAUUGAUCAAUUUGACUGGACGAGAAAACAAGGAACAACAGGAAGUCACAACACA